ACGGAAGGCAGCAGUGGGGAAUAUUGGGCAAUGGGCGAAAGCCUGACCCAGCGACGCCGCGUGAAGGAUGAAGAUCUUCGGAUUGUAAACUUCUGUCGACAGGGAAGAAACAAAUGACGGUACCUGUUGAGAAAGCCACGGCUAACUACGUGCCAGCAGCCGCGGUAAUACGUAGGUGGCAAGCGUUAUCCGGAUUUACUGGGUGUAAAGGGUGUGUAGGCGGGAUUGCAAGUCAGAUGUGAAAAUUAUGGGCUCAACUCAUAACCUGCAUUUGAAACUGUAGUUCUUGAGAGUCGGAGAGGUAAACGGAAUUCCUGGUGUAGCGGUGAAAUGCGUAGAUAUCAGGAGGAACACCGGUGGUGAAGGCGGUUUACUGGACGAUUACUGACGCUGAGACACGAAAGCGUGGGGAGCAAACAGGAUUAGAUACCCUGGUA
rnacentral:rRNA from 1 species